AUGUCCGUAUUUAAGUUGCCAAAAGGUAUCUGCAAGGCUAUAACUAAUGAAAUUGCAGGAUUUUGGUGGGGGGAUUCUGAAGAAAAGAAAAAAAUGCAUUGGUAUACGUGGUGGAAGAUGUGUGUGCCGAAGAGAAAGGGGGGUAUGGGGUUUAGAGACCUUCACAGUUUCAACCUUGCUAUGUUAGCAAAACAGUGCUGGCGACUACUCUAGAACCCUGAAUCUCUUUGCGCACGUGUCCUUAGUGCCAAGUACUAUCCAAAUGGAGACAUUCUAAGUGCGGGUCCGAAAAAGGGCUCUUCCUAUACAUGGCAAAGUAUUGUAGCAGGUAUCCAAACCUUUAAAAGGGGCUGUAUUUGGCGGGUGGGGACGGGCGCAAAGAUCAAUAUCUGGCGUGAUCCAUGGAUACCU
rnacentral:rRNA from 1 species